GCUUCUGUAGCUUAGUUGGGAGUACUCGACUAUGGCGCGGUAGGAUUCGGGUUCGAGCCCCGGUGAAGGCA